UACGUAGGGUGCAAGCGUUGUCCGGAAUUACUGGGCGUAAAGGGCGCGUAGGCGGCGCGACAAGUCACUUGUGAAAUCUCUGGGCUCAACCCAGAACGGUCAAGUGAUACUGUCGUGCUAGAGUGCGGAAGGGGCAACUGGAAUUCUUGGUGUAGCGGUGAAAUGCGUAGAUAUCAAGAGGAACACCUGCGGCGAAGGCGGGUUGCUGGGCCGACACUGACGCUGAGGCGCGAAAGCUAGGGGAGCGAACGGG
rnacentral:rRNA from 1 species